GUGUGCUCUUCCAAUCUUAAAGUUGCUGAUGGACAGAGUGGAUAAAUGAGCCAAAAUAUAGUUAAAUCUAACAUAUCCAUGAGGAACACAAGUAAACAGCAGCAGCAGAAACAUCAGCAUCAGCAGCAUCUCCAGCA